AGCGCACGCUCUUUAGGCUGGUGCUAGGCUGCAUCUUUUCCUGCCCCCGUCCUGGUGCCUCCUCCUACCCGCGUAAAUGGCGAGCAGAGGGCGUGAGUACCAGAGUUUGGAUGUGGAUGUUACUUCAGGGAGGAAGUUGGUUACAAUUUUCAUUUGUAUGAUGCAGCAGGCACAAACUAAUUUACAUAAUUUGUUGGUGUUGCGGUCUCUCCCCAUCUUAACAUUGUCUUCCGCUGCAAGGAGAGGAAAUUUGUGUAUAUCACACCUAUCAGCUACAUCCCAUGGAGAGGAAUUUUGUGUCAGGCAUUGUCAUUGGAGAAGCUUUCACAGGCAUGGCCCUUCUUUCGGUCAUAAGAUUUACAGAUAUACUGAUUCUAAAAGAUUUGAUUCACAGGAAAUGGAUUGUAAAUUGCAAGUGAGUUGGGGCUUCUGAUUGGACCUUGUGGUGGUUGGAUCUGCUGACAGAUAGGGAGAAGCAUGAUAGUCCGAGAUUACCUGAAUGAUUCGUGGAAAUUAGAAUGUGGGGAUCUCAAAGAAUGUUUCACAAGAAAAACAAAUAUUGGCCAUUUCCAAACUUGCUCGGUGGUCGAGGUACUAUAGAGGACAUCAAUAGAAUGAAAGCAAGAGCAACCUGACAACAUUAUUGAUAGUCAA